UGAUAGCUGGUCUCAUAACAACCUUGUUGUUGUACUUAGCACUGCUCAGGACAGUGAGUUAGCUAACAGAUAGCCUUUCUCCAUUUUAUUUCCACGUUUUGCAAGAUACAGGCUUAAUUCUUAGUUAUCAGCAAGUAAAGCUUUGAGAGUUGAGCUUCAAAGAGAAAGUUACCUGAUCUGAGUAAACUUCCAAAGACUUGAACCAUGAAGAGAAGACUCUGAAGUUGGAAAUGUGGGGCUCCUAUGUGACGUGUAAAGAAGAAACAAAAGAACAAACAUAAACAUUUAAUCAUGAUGUCUAAAUUGAGAUAAGAUUUGGCUUUUCAUAGAAAAUGGAAGAGUGUUUAUCAACAUGGAGAUUAACAGUCAACAAAUUGCUCUUAUGACUAUUGUUCAGUUGUGGUAGGGGACAGAUUGGAGCCAACAUCACCAUUCCAAAUUGUGGCUUAUAUUUCUGAGUACAAUCUGAUAUUUCAAACAAAAAUUUUUGAAGAUAGUCUGGCAUUCCAAAUGUAAUUUGGGACUUGUGAGUUUCCUGAUGGUCCCUUGGAAAAGCCUGGAGAAUUGAAGGUGUCUUCAUUUUACCUUAAAUAAAAUCAGUAAAUAUUCAAGAUA